rnacentral:rRNA from 1 species
GUCCAGACUCCUACGGGAGGCAGCAGUGGGGAAUAUUGCACAAUGGGGGAAACCCUGAUGCAGCGACGCCGCGUGAGCGAUGAAGUAUUUCGGUAUGUAAAGCUCUAUCAGCAGGGAAGAAGAUGACGGUACCUGACUAAGAAGCCCUGGCUAACUACGUGCCAGCAGCCGCGGUAAUACGUAGGGGGCAAGCGUUAUCCGGAUUUACUGGGUGUAAAGGGAGCGUAGACGGCGAUGCAAGCCAGAUGUGAAAGCCCGGGGCUCAACCCCGGGACUGCAUUUGGAACUGUGUGGCUGGAGUGUCGGAGAGGCAGGCGGAAUUCCUAGUGUAGCGGUGAAAUGCGUAGAUAUUAGGAGGAACACCAGUGGCGAAGGCGGCCUGCUGGACGAUGACUGACGUUGAGGCUCGAAAGCGUGGGGAGCAAACAGGAUUAGAUACCCUAGUA